GAUCCUAGAAAUGGGUGUGUGUGGA
rnacentral:piRNA from 1 species